CUCUCUCUAAAACUCAUUUUGAAACCCUCCUCUUCUCUUUCUCUCUCUCAAAUUCCAUCAGCUCUAGAUCUAGAUGUAUCUGUCCCUUUCUCUCGAUCCAGCUUAAAUCAAAGAAGAAAAAAAUGCCAUGGAUUGAACUUAUAUCUGCAAAUCCUACAUCUCAGAAGUUAUCAGCCCACCACUACUACAAAUCUGGAGAACCACAUCGACCCACCAGAGAUUUAUGAGAGAAUUUCAAAAUUUCACUGCUCCGUCGAAGAUCUCCGGCCAGGUAAUCGAUGGUGAGUUGAAUCAGCUUCCUGUUGCUGUGUGUAGGGAUUGUUGGAGUCAGGAUCAUCUUCUUCUCUGAUAUUAAACCCUACACCAACUGUCUGGCGAUUCUUCUCCGUUAAGCCCUGGUAUACAAACCCUAAUAAUUCUUCUUAUCCAACGAGCGAUGAUUGAAGAAAUCGUUUCUGGAAGCAAAUCGAGAUUCGGAAUCAAUUAAAGCGAAAGCACUUUUAUCUUCCUGAAUGCAUGUUUCUACAAAGAUCAUCUUUCUAAAUGUGUGGAGAGCCAUGGAUUUGAAACCUAUGACAAAUUUAUCAAGGAAAAAGGAGGCAUGCUUCAGUGGACUGAUCUUCCGGCCUGAUUACUUUGCGUUCGGUGAUUCCGUGCCAGAAACAAUUGGGGAAAUGAAGAGGCUCAAGGAACUGGUUAUUGAUGCCAAGAACGAAAAUAUAGGAGUUGUACCUCUUUUCGUUAAUAAUAUGCUAGAAAGAAAUUUGUUCCUUUACAGGGCUGUUAAAUUGAAGGAAGGAUCUGUAGUAGUGCCGGCCCAAAGGUAAGUCAAGUAAAGCUUACGCUUUAGGCCCCCAGUUUGGAAGGGCCACAUUUUUUAAACUUAAUUAUGUUUAGACUGGGUUAAGUUUGGGCCUGUGAAUAGUCUUGUGAGGCCUGGGUUAAGUCCAUUCAGGAAUCAUUGUAACGUUCUCCUGGAUAAUCUAAAGGAUCUUCAGAAAUCGUUUCGAACAUAAAUUAGUUCUGAAAUAGUGCCAUAAAUAAUUCUGAAAGAAAAUCGAGUUAUGAAAAUUGAAUUUAUAAAACGAAAGGCAAGAUAUAUAGAUUUUGAACCAACACCAGAAAUGGUUUGUGGAAGCAAAUCGAGAUUCGGAAUCAAUUAAAGCGAAAGCACUUUUAUCUUCCUGAAUGCAUG